rnacentral:rRNA from 1 species
GCAUAUCAAUAAGCGGAGGAAAAGAAACCAACAGGGAUUGCCUCAGUAACGGCGAGUGAAGCGGCAACAGCUCAAAUUUGAAAUCUGGCUCCUUCGGGGUCCGAGUUGUAAUUUGCAGAGGAUGCGUCGGGUACGGGUCCCUACCGAGUUCCCUGGAACGGGACGCCAUAGAGGGUGAGAGCCCCGUCUGGUAGGAUACCCAGCCCAUGUGACGCUCCCUCGACGAGUCGAGUAGUUUGGGAAUGCUGCUCUAACGGGAGGUAUACUCCUUCCAAAGCUAAAUACCGGCUGGAGACCGAUAGCGCACAAGUAGAGUGAUCGAAAGAUGAAAAGCACUUUGAAAAGAGAGUCAAACAGCACGUGAAAUUGUUAAAAGGGAAGCACUCGCUACCAGACUUGGGUUUGGCGGUUCAACCGGGGCCACGCCCCGGGGCAUUCCGCCAGCUCAGGCCAGCAUCAGCUUUCCGUCGGGGGCAAAGACGUCGGGAAUGUGGCUCCCCCUCGGGGGAGUGUUAUAGCCCGGCGUGUCAUACCCUUCGGGGGGCUGAGGUACGCGCUUCUGCAAGGAUGCUGGCGUAAUGGUAGCUAGUGGUCCGUGUUUCAAGACGG